CGUUCCCGGGUCUUGUACACACCGCCCGUCACACCACGAAAGUUUGUAACACCCAAAGUCGGUGGGGUAACCGCAAGGAGCUAGCCGCCUAAGGUGGGACAGAUGAUUGGGGUG
rnacentral:rRNA from 1 species